CAAUAUAUAGAUGACGUGAUAUUGUUCAUUCAUCACUGGAAACAGAAAUAUGAACAUCGUUGGUUUACUGGGAUUUUUUCUGCUUUUUGAGUCAUUACUUUGUAGUUCUGACAACAAAAUAUUCAAAGGCAUCGUAACUUUGAGUUACAAAUGAUCGUUUAAGAGGAAGUACAAACACGUUCUGGAUUGGUUCCACAAGGAAGGACUUUAUUAUAUACCACAGUUGAAUGUUACAGAAGCGAACAAGAUACCAGAACUUAUAUUGUACAAUAAAAAUGACAUGGAAAUUUUUAGAAUACCAUUAGACAAAACGACCUAUGAAAAAUUAGAUAACCUGAUUAAAGAUUUAGGAUUUUACCGCCAAACAAAAUUCAGUGACAAACUUCCACAUGAAUAUGAAAACGGACCAGUUCCUCCGCCAGAUGGCAUUUCUAUCGAUGAUCUCCUCGCCGGAUUCUCCCUUUGUGAACGAUAUGGAAUAACAAGUGAAUUAACUGCAGAAUACUCUUGUGGAAAAUAAAUCCCCGUAUAAUAACUACAAAAGAAAUUUUGCAGCUUGAUACUCAAUGAUAUGUUUAUUCAAACAAUCAAAUUGAAUAUAAACAUGGAUGACUGGUUUCAUGCUGUAAUUUAUCUAGACAAAUAUUAAAAAGUUAUGGUUUAAUUUUAUUUAUAAAAAUAAAAUGAAUGUUGGGCAAACAAAAUUAAAGUGUAAUAUGGUAAUAGAAAACAAAAGAUAUGGAGUAUCCAUCCAUGACACAAAAUCAGUACAUGUACAGCAAAAACAAAAGGGCAAAGGAACAGAGUUUUUAUUGCUGUUCUUAAUCUCAAAGUCACAAUGAGGCAUUCAACAUAUUAAAUAUUUUUAGUGAC